GCUCCAGACUCCUACGGGAGGCAGCAGUGGGGAAUAUUGCACAAUGGGGGAAACCCUGAUGCAGCGACGCCGCGUGAGUGAAGAAGUAAUUCGUUAUGUAAAGCUCUAUCAGCAGGGAAGAAAAUGACGGUACCUGAGUAAGAAGCCCCGGCUAACUACGUGCCAGCAGCCGCGGUAAUACGUAGGGGGCAAGCGUUAUCCGGAUUUACUGGGUGUAAAGGGAGCGUAGACGGCAGUGCAAGUCUGGAGUGAAAGCCCGGGGCCCAACCCCGGGACUGCUCUUGGAACUGCGUGGCUGGAGUGCAGGAGGGGCAGGCGGAAUUCCUGGUGUAGCGGUGAAAUGCGUAGAUAUCAGGAGGAACACCGGUGGCGAAGGCGGCCUGCUGGACUGCAACUGACGUUGAGGCCCGAAAGCGUGGGGAGCAAACAGGAUUAGAUACCCUAGUAGUG
rnacentral:rRNA from 1 species